GGUUCUGCGCGGGGCCGAGCCCGCUUCUCCCGAGGACCUUGACCUCUCGCGGACCCCGCCGCCCCGUUAGCUGUAGCUCUCCCUGACCUGCUUUUGAACCUGCUAAUCCGGGCCCGAACUCUCGCCCCGCGGCGAUCACUCGCCCCAGCCCGGCGCGCUAAUUCCCGCUGUGCGCAGCGCCGCCGCCUCUCCCGGCUCGCGUGGCUGUGAGGGCGGCGAGGGCUCGGGCCUCGAGCCCGCAGUGACCGGGUGCGCAGCCGUGUCCGUCCCGCUUCGGCCGGGAGCACGCUCCAACACUCGACCCGAGCACGCAGCCUCCAGCUACAAACUCUGUCGUCCUGUUUCUUCGGUUCCUCCCGGUUUAUUUCAUUUGUUUCUCUAAGAACCCCAAAGAUCCAGAUCUUUGGUAACACACGAGAGUGGCGACGCUGAGGGGCUGCAGGCACCUUCCCCACGGCGGCCGGCAGCAGGAAGGGGGCGGAGGACCAGGCUGCCUGGAGCGAUGGAGCGAGCGCCCAGUGCCCAGCAAGGAAACGGCUGGGAGAGCAGCCCAUUCCU
rfam:Heterocephalus glaber contig81804, whole genome shotgun sequence.